rnacentral:rRNA from 1 species
CUGCCCGGACCAGCGGGAUAACCCGGGGAAACCCGGCCUAAUACCGCACGGCGCCGCCAAGGGGCAUCCCUUAGCGGCUAAAGAACCAUCGGGUCCGGAUGGGCAUGCGUGGCAUUAGCUUGUUGGCGGGGUAACGGCCCACCAAGGCGACGAUGCCUAGGGGUUCUGAGAGGAAGGUCCCCCACACUGGUACUGAGACACGGACCAGACUCCUACGGGAGGCAGCAGUGAGGAAUAUUGGUCAAUGGGCGUAAGCCUGAACCAGCCAAGUCGCGUGAGGGACGACGGCCCUACGGGUUGUAAACCUCUUUUGCCGGGGGACAAACGGCGGCACGCGUGCCGUCCUGAGGGUACCCGGAGAAAAAGCAUCGGCUAACUCCGUGCCAGCAGCCGCGGUAAUACGGAGGAUGCGAGCGUUAUCCGGAUUUAUUGGGUUUAAAGGGUGCGUAGGCGGGAUGCCAAGUCAGCGGUCAAAUACGGGGGCUCAACCUGCGUCCGCCGUUGAAACUGGCGUUCUUGAGUGGGCGAGAAGUACGCGGAAUGCGUGGUGUAGCGGUGAAAUGCAUAGAUAUCACGCAGAACCCCGAUUGCGAAGGCAGCGUACCGGCGCCCGACUGACGCUGAAGCACGAAAGCGUGGGUAUCGAACAGGAUUAGAUACCCUGGUAGUCCACGCAGUAAACGAUGA